rnacentral:precursor_RNA from 11 species
GGUCUACGUCUGUUGGAACGCUUGGUUUGUAGGCAGUGUAGUUAGCUGAUUGUGAGGUUUCCUUGGCAAUCACUAGCUUUACUGUCAUCAAAACAAGGCGUGGGAUUCCCACUCUGCGA